rnacentral:rRNA from 1 species
ACGCACGCUGGCGGCGUGCUUAACACAUGCAAGUCGAACGGAAAGGCCCUGCUUGCAGGGUACUCGAGUGGCGAACGGGUGAGUAACACGUGGGUGAUCUGCCCUGCACUUCGGGAUAAGCUUGGGAAACUGGGUCUAAUACCGGAUAGGAACCAUCUUUAGUGUGGUGGUUGGAAAGUUUUUUCGGUGUAGGAUGAGCUCGCGGCCUAUCAGCUUGUUGGUGGGGUAAUGGCCUACCAAGGCGGCGACGGGUAGCCGGCCCGAGAGGGUGUACGGCCACAUUGGGACUGAGAUACGGCCCAGACUCCUACGGGAGGCAGCAGUGGGGAAUAUUGCACAAUGGGCGCAAGCCUGAUGCAGCGACGCCGCGUGGGGGAUGAAGGCCUUCGGGUUGUAAACUCCUUUCGCUAGGGACGAAGCUUUGUUGUGACGGUACCUAGAUAAGAAGCACCGGCUAACUACGUG